AUUGAACGCUGGCGGAAUGCUUUACACAUGCAAGUCGAACGGCAGCACGGGGGCAACCCUGGUGGCGAGUGGCGAACGGGUGAGUAAUACAUCGGAACGUGCCCAAUCGUGGGGGAUAACGUAGCGAAAGCUACGCUAAUACCGCAUACGAUCUACGGAUGAAAGCGGGGGAUCGCAAGACCUCGCGCGAAUGGAGCGGCCGAUGGCAGAUUAGGUAGUUGGUGGGGUAAAGGCUCACCAAGCCGACGAUCUGUAGCUGGUCUGAGAGGACGACCAGCCACACUGGGACUGAGACACGGCCCAGACUCCUACGGGAGGCAGCAGUGGGGAAUUUUGGACAAUGGGCGCAAGCCUGAUCCAGCCAUUCCGCGUGCAGGAUGAAGGCCUUCGGGUUGUAAACUGCUUUGUACGGACGAAACGGCCCUUCUAAUACAGGGGCUAAGUGACGGUACCGUAAGAAUAAGCACCGGCUAACUACGUAGCCAGCAGCCGCGGUAA
rnacentral:rRNA from 1 species